GUGAGGGAAAGGUGAAAAGCACCCCGGGAGGGGAGUGAAAUAGAACCUGAAACCUUAUGCCUACAAUCGGAGGGAGCGCAAGUGACCUCGUACUUUUUGUAGAACGGGCCAACGAGUUAUGGUGUGCGGCAAGGUUAAGGAGCUGGAGCUCCGGAGCCGUAGGGAAACCGAGCCUUAAUAGGGCAGAAGUCGUAUGCUGUAGACCCGAAACCGGGUGACCUAUCCAUGUGCAGGUUGAAGUGUCCGUAAAAGGACAUGGAGGACCGAACCCAUAUCUGUUGAAAAAGGUUGGGAUGACGUGUGGAUAGCGGUGAAAUUCCAAUCGAACCCGGAGAUAGCUGGUUCUCCCCGAAAUAGCUUUGGGGCUAGCCUCGUAUUGAGAUGCCUGGAGGUAGAGCACUGAAUGUUCUAGGGGCCUUCACCGGUUACCAAAAACUAUCAAACUCCGAAUGCCAGAGCAUCAUAUACGGGAGUCAGACCACGUGAGAUAAGUUUCGUGGUCGAAAGGGAAACAGCCCAGACCGCCGGCUAAGGUCCCAAAAUACAGACUAAGUGGAAAAGGAUGUGGGAUUGCACAGACAGCUAGGAUGUUGGCUCAGAAGCAGCCAUUCAUUCAAAGAGUGCGUAAUAGCUCACUAGUCGAGUGAUCCUGCGCCGAAGAUGAACGGGGCUAAAGUCUGUUACCGAAGCCGCGGAUACGUAAGUAUGGUAGGGGAGCAUCCUAUAGGGAGCGAAGCAGUUUCGUAAGGAACUGUGGACCGUAUAGGAGAGAGAAUGUUGGCAUGAGUAGCGUAAGGCAGGUGAGAAUCCUGCCCGCCGAAAAUCUAAGGUUUCCUGAGGAAGGUUCGUCCGCUCAGGGUAAGUCGGGGCCUAAGCCGAGGGCGAAAGCCGUAGGCGAUGGAUAACAGGUAGAAAUUCCUGUACCACCGAAGGUCAUUUGAGCAAAGCGGGGACACAGAAGGAUAGACUGAGCACGCCGUUGGUAGAGCGUGUCCAAGCGUCGAGGGAGCAAUUACAGGUAAGUCCGUAGUUGUGGAACUGAGGCGUGAUGGGGUGACAAAAGAGUCUGAAGCAGUCGAUUUCACGCUGUCAAGAAAAGCCGCUAGCGAGACCAGAGGUGCCCGUACCGCAAACCGACACAGGUAGAUGAGGAGAGAAUCCUAAGGUGAGCGAGAGAACUAUUGUCAAGGAACUCGGCAAAAUCACCCCGUAACUUCGGGAGAAGGGGUGCCAGCGAAAGCUGGCCGCAGUGAAAAGGCCCAGGCAACUGUUUACCAAAAACACAGGUCUCUGCAAAAGCGAAAGCUGAAGUAUAGGGGCUGACGCCUGCCCGGUGCUGGAAGGUUAAGGGGAAGUGUAAGAGCAAUCGAAGCACGGAACUGAAGCCCCAGUAAACGGCGGCCGUAACUAUAACGGUCCUAAGGUAGCGAAAUUCCUUGUCGGGUAAGUUCCGACCCGCACGAAAGGCGUAAUGAUCUGGGCGCUGUCUCGACAAUAGACUCGGUGAAAUUGUAGUGCCGGUAAAGAUGCCGGCUACCCGCAGCAGGACGGAAAGACCCCGUGGAGCUUUACUGCAACCUGAUAUUGAGCCUCGGCGCUGCAUGUACAGGAUAGGUGGGAGACAUUGAAAUGAGUACGCCAGUAUUCAUUGAGUCAUCGUUGGGAUACCACCCCUGCAGUGUUGGGGUUCUAACCGCGCAUCGUGAACCGGUGCCGGAACAGUGUCAGGCGGGCAGUUUGACUGGGGCGGUCGCCUCCUAAAGAGUAACGGAGGCGCCCAAA
rnacentral:rRNA from 1 species